UCUGUGGAGCGAAGCGUGGCUGGGCUCGAGCCGCGGCUGGGGGAGCAGUCGCUCCGUCGCCCUCCCUCUUCCGCCGCCGGAAGCGUGGCGCGCGGCCCGGCUAGCGC